ensembl:miRNA aca-mir-10b aca-mir-10b
GUUGUCUAUAUAUACCCUGUAGAACCGAAUUUGUGUGGUAUUUACACAGUCACAGAUUCGAUUCUAGGGGAAUAUAUGGUCGAUGCAAAA